rnacentral:rRNA from 1 species
AAUUUUGGACAAUGGGCGCAAGCCUGCUCCAGCCAUGCCGCGUGAGUGAAGAAGGCCUUCGGGUUGUAAAGCUCUUUCGGACGGAAAGAAAUCGCGUAGGCUAAUUCCUUGCGCGGACGACGGUACCGUCAUAAGAAGCACCGGCUAAUCACGUGCCAGCACCCGCGGUAAUACGUAGGGUGCGAGCGUUAAUCGGAAUUACUGGGCGUAAAGCGGGCGCAGGCGGUGGAUUAAGACAGGCGUGGAAUCCCCGGGCGUAACCUGGGAACUGCGCUUGGGACUGGUCAGCUAGAGUACGGCAGAGGGGGGUGGAAUUCACGUGUAGCAGUGAGAUGCGUAGAGAUGUGGAGGAACACCGAUGGCGAAGGCAGCCCCCUGGGCCGAUACUGACGCUCAUGCACGAAAGCGUGGGUAGCAAACAGG